GGUAGGGUGGCCGAAUGUUUAGGCAGCGGGUUGUAGCUCCGAAGAUAGAGGUUUAAAUCCUCUCCUUAUCA
rnacentral:tRNA from 1 species